CUGAAAUCGGUCAGGUGAAUAUCAUCAAUCCCGAUCGCCUCCACACAAAGGAAAAUUGAAAGUUAUGCAGAGACAAGCGCCGAUGCGUCACCAGGCGGCAGCGAGGCGCGGCGGUAACGGCCUACGCACGUAUAUUAUAAGGGCUCUGCUUCCAGGGAUACAAUAACUUAGAAAUAAAAACUAGAAAUUUUA